AAUAGAUACCCUGGUAGUCCACGCCGUAAACGAUGUCGACUUGGAGGUUGUGCCCUUGAGGCAUGGCUUCCGGAGCUAACGCGUUAAGUCGACCGCCUGGGGAGUACGGCCGCAAGGUUAAAACUCAAAUGAAUUGACGGGGGCCCGCACAAGCGGUGGAGCAUGUGGUUUAAUUCGAUGCAACGCGAAGAACCUUGCCUACUCUUGACAUCCAGAGAACUUAGCAGAGAUGCUUUGGUGCCUUCGGGAACUCUGAGACAGGUGCUGCAUGGCUGUCGUCAGCUCGUGUUGUGAAAUGUUGGGUUAAGUCCCGCAACGAGCGCAACCCUUAUCCUUUGUUGCCAGCGGUUAGGCCGGGAACUCAAAGGAGACUGCCAGUGAUAAACUGGAGGAAGGUGGGGAUGACGUCAAGUCAUCAUGGCCCUUACGAGUAGGGCUACACACGUGCUACAAUGGCAUAUACAAAGAGAAGCGACCUCGCGAGAGCAAGCGGACCUCAUAAAGUAUGUCGUAGUCCGGAUUGG
rnacentral:rRNA from 1 species